GCUCCCUGCCUGUGCCUCCAAGACUGUCCCUUAGACAGGCGACCUCUGGUCAUCAGUGGUGAGCGGUGAGCUGGAGGGGGCUCGGGGCCUUUCAGGGAUAAGGACACCUCACAGAGCUACAGAACCAAGCCACCGCUGGGAGCAACAAGGAGGUGGGCCCAGCCAGGAAUGAGAGAGAAAGAAAAAGAAAGAGGAAAAAAAGCUGACUCCCUUCCAAGAAGGCCCGGCCCGAGUCCUGGCUGACCACGUUCCAGACGCGGCGGCCUGGCCUGGGACAUGCUGGCCAGUUACCCAGCCUUCCUUGAGGUCCAGGCAGCAUCAGUACAGAUGGCUGUAUCCACGGUCACCCCUUCCCCCCAUCACUGCCCACUCCUACUCUGAAAAAUAAAAGUCAGAAAGCCUCA